UACAGAGGGUGCGAGCGUUACUCGGAAUUACUGGGCGUAAAGCGCGCGUAGGCGGCUUUGCAAGUCGGGUGUGAAAUCCCCAGGCUUAACCUGGGAACUGCAUUCGAGACUGCAUUGCUAGAGUAUGGGAGAGGGAAGUGGAAUUUCCGGUGUAGCGGUGAAAUGCGUAGAUAUCGGAAGGAACAUCAGUGGCGAAAGCGACCACCUGGACGGUAACUGACGCUGAGACGCGAAAGCGUGGGGAGCAAACAGG
rnacentral:rRNA from 1 species